GACGAACGCUGGCGGCGUGCCUAAUACAUGCAAGUAGGACGCAGUUGCGAACGGGUGAGUAACGCGUAGGUAACUACCUAUUAGAGGGGGAUAACUAUUGGAAACGAUAGCUAAUACCGCAUACUAGUAGAUGGACCUGCGUUGUAUUAGCUAGUAGGUAGGGUAAUGGCCUACCUAGGCAACGAUACAUAGCCGACCUGGGAGGGUGAUCGGCCCCAAUGGAGACGGGAGACCGGCCCGACUCCUACGGGAGGGAGCAGGAGGGGAUUGUGGGCAAUGGGGGGAACCCUGACCGAGCAACGCCGCGUGAGUGAAGAAGGUUUUCGGAUCGUAAAGCUCUGUUGUUAAGGAAGCGGUACUUAACCAGAAAGGGACGGCUAACUACGUGCCAGCAGCCGCGGUAAUUC
rnacentral:rRNA from 1 species